GGCACGGUGGCUUAGUGGUUAGCAUGUUUGCCUCACACCUUCAGGGCUGGGGAUUCGAUUCCCACCUCUGCUU